GGCAGUAGUAGAUCUGAGUGCAAGUCGAUCUAAUUUGAUUAGAAUUUAAUCUAAUCGAUCUAGAUCCAAUCGAGCUAAUCCGAUUUCAGCAAUUAGAACUCUUUUUAAUUGACGAUCGAAUUAAACUCUUUAAUUUGAUCAAAUCCAAAAGAUAAGAUUGAUGUCUAGCAAUAUAUCAUGUCUAUCUGAAAGAUAUAAAAUUUUGAUAAAAAUAUCAAAAAUAUCUCUUAGUGAAAAGUUAUCGUACAAUUCGAUCCCGCGAUCUCCCUACUUUCCGAAUAUGACU
rnacentral:lncRNA from 1 species